rnacentral:pre_miRNA from 1 species
AGUGGAAUUGUUGAGUUACAUGGUAAAUCUACGAUUAUAUUUUGGAGGAACUGCCAAACUGUUUUACAAAGUAGCUGCAUCAUCUUACAUUCUCACCAGCAAU